rnacentral:rRNA from 1 species
UCCUACGGGAGGCAGCAGUAGGGAAUCUUCCGCAAUGGACGAAAGUCUGACGGAGCAACGCCCCGUGAACGAUGAAGGCCUUCGGGUCGUAAAGUUCUGUUGUUAGGGAAGAACAAGUACCAAAGUAACUGCUGGUACCUUGACGGAACCUAACCAGAAAGCCACGGCUAACUACGUGCCAACAGCCGCGGUAAUACCUAGGUGGCAAGCGUUGUCCGGAAUUAUUGGGCGUAAAACGCGCGCAGGCGGUUUCUUAAGUCUGAAGGAAAAGCCCACGGCUCAACCGUGGAGGGUCAUUGGAAACUGGGGAACUUGAUUGCAAAAAAAAAAAGUGAAAUUCCCCGUGAACCGGUAAAAUGCCUAAAAAAGUGAAGAAACACCACUGGGAAAAAGGAAUCUCUGGCCUGUAACUUACCCCAAAGCACAAAAACGGGGGGACAAAAACAGAUAAAUACCCCGGUAGACCCCCCCCCUAACC